GUCAGAUGCCACACAGUCAACUCACAGCACCAGAAUCAACCUGAUUAGUAAUAUUGCAGCUUCAUCUAGAAACAGUGUCAUCUUUUUCAUUUCUGUUUCUAUCAGGAGCAGAGGAACUUGUGUCCUUGGUGAAGUGAUACCUUGCUGCUUCUGACACCUCACAGUCUAAAAGGAGUUUCACAAUCACCUCUCCUUAAAGAAAGGAUAGAGGAUUCUCGGUAAGAAAAACCUCUUCAGAAUACACCAGCUUCAUUCAACUCCUCCUGGAGCCACAGCACUCCUUCCUGGCCUGAGAUAAGCAAAGAAGGCUUAGUCUUCAUUUGUCUCAUGUCACAGGAUCUCCAGUGCUGCUCCCCAUGCUUCAUGAACACAGCUCACAGGAAAGGUGCCACAAACUCCAAUAUGUUCAGCUUUCAAUGCCUUGUUACACAAACACUCACUCAUGAAACUGAGCUCUAAGUUGUUUUUGUCUUGUACAGGAACAUUCAGAUAUGGCAAUGCCCAAAGCAAGAGAAAUGCAAUUCUAAAAAAUCUUUGGAACUGAAAUGUGGAGAGCAAACAAAGGACCAAAUCCACAGGCCCUUAGGCAAGGUUCUAAUGGAUUUUAGUGAGUGUCUUGCCUGAACAAAGACUGAGUAAUGGGCUAUUGAUUCAAAUGUCAUAUUUUUCUGCAGGAACAUUGAUACAAAAUGUAACCCCUAUGUAAAAAGACACGCUCUGGGAAAUGCCAGCCAAUGCUAAGAUAAUCAGUGAAGCGUCAUGACAAGUGAUGGCUCUCUGCCAUUACUUACUGGUAAAGCUGCAGAGUUCAGAUAAGCUAAUAAAUCCUGUAUAGGAUGAUAGCCGGGCCUCUUAAGUUUGUACUUGCAAACGACAGAGGUUAGGGAAGUGCAAAUUUAGAGGCCAUUUUUCAAAGAUUGGCUUUAAGGGUAGAUUAGUUUUAGUAAAAGCACUUUUCAGAGAAGUAGAAGCUUAACAAACAAACUUGCAAUAACUUUGAGAUUUAGCCCUAGCAUAUAAAACAUUCCCAUUGAUUCUAUAGCUAGUCUUCUAGCAAAGUAUUUCGGAGAUACUGUACUUCAUGUAAAUGAUGCCAUUGGGAAUUCAGGCAAUAUCCACAGCUGAGAUGUGGGAAACCCUGGAAGAUACUGAACUGACACCCAUACAGCCUCCUUCAAUGCCAUCCUCUGUUCCAUUUAAAACAAGUUUUAUUCGUAGCAACUUGGCUAUGUCUAUCAUGGGGCGAGACCAAAGUAAAUGCUGAUAUUUUUAUAGUUCAUUGAAAAUUUGUUUAUGAUCAGUAGAAGAGCUAAAUUAACCAUUCUCCUUUUUCCUGUAUCAGAUGAUGUGGGUUAAUAACAGCUUAUGUCCUGAAUUGCAGCCAGAAAAAAAUGAGGAGGCAGCUCAUAUCUGUAAUUGGUUUGAUCUCCCACAAUCACUGUUGAUACAACGUGAGGAAAUGGGAGAAAAAAUGUAAAUGUUACAUGUCAGGCUUACACUGUAACCCACAGGCACCAACUGUGAAAUCAUUAAGCCAUAAAAAUGGGUUCUUUUGUUGA